rnacentral:rRNA from 1 species
CCUACGGGAGGCUGCAGUGGGGAAUUUUGGACAAUGGGGGCAACCCUGAUCCAGCCAUGCCGCGUGUGUGAAGAAGGCCUUCGGGUUGUAAAGCACUUUCGGACGGAACGAAAUCGCGCGAUCUAAUAAGUCGCGUGGAUGACGGUACCGUAAGAAGAAGCACCGGCUAACUACGUGCCAGCAGCCGCGGUAAUACGUAGGGUGCGAGCGUUAAUCGGAAUUACUGGGCGUAAAGUGUGCGCAGGCGGCGUCGCAAGUCGAGUGUGAAAGCCCCGGGCUUAACUUGGGAAUUGCGCUCGAAACUACGGUGCUGGAGUGUGGCAGAGGAAGGUGGAAUUCCAGGUGUAGCGGUGAAAUGCGUAGAGAUCUGGAGGAACACCGAUGGCGAAGGCAGCCUUCUGGGCCAACACUGACGCUCAUGCACGAAAGCGUGGGGAGCA